UACAGGGGUCUCAAGCGUUGUUCGGAUUCAUUGGGCGUAAAGGGUGCGUAGGCGGCGCGGUAAGUCGGGUGUGAAAUCUCGGAGCUUAACUCCGAAACUGCGUUCGAUACUGCCGUGCUUGAGGACUGGAGAGGAGACUGGAAUUUACGGUGUAGCGGUGAAAUGCGUAGAUAUCGUAAGGAAGACCAGUGGCGAAGGCGGGUCUCUGGACAGUUCCUGACGCUGAGGCACGAAGGUCAGGGGAGCAAACGGG
rnacentral:rRNA from 1 species